rnacentral:rRNA from 1 species
UACGAGAGGCCCAAACGUUAUUCGGAUUUACUGGGCUUAAAGAGCUCGUAGGCGGUUCGGUAAGUCGGGUGUGAAAACUCUGGGCUCAACUCAGAGAUGCCACCCGAUACUGCCGUGACUUGAGUCCGGUAGGGGAGCACGGAAUUCCUGGUGUAGCGGUGAAAUGCGCAGAUAUCAGGAGGAACACCGGUGGCGAAGGCGGUGCUCUGGGCCGGUACUGACGCUGAGGAGCGAAAGCGUGGGUAGCAAACAGG